ACAUAGUAUAAUAUACUACCUGGACGCUGAGAACGGGGUUUCCAAACACAAUUAAACUACAUACUAAACUAUAUGUGUAUUAAAAUACUCAUAAAAUAGAAAAAAUCUGUACCACAGGCGAGAGGAGACUAAAUCAUUGUAUUAUGUAUUCCAGGGUCAACUUUGAAGAAUUAUUUCUAUACACUGGUGGUAGACCUUCAAAAGCCAUGCGAUGCAAAGUUGGAAUGUAAGUUCACCGAGUUGAGGAAAUAUGUUUGUACAUUCUUAAACAACGGAAAUCCAAACAUAUUAUAUAAUUAUACAAUACACCAAAUAUAUUCAACAACUCAUAAAACUAUUGGUCGUUCUAUUAUAACUGUAAAUUAUGCACAAACAAUUGUAUAUACCGUCAAAAUAGAACGAUUUGAUUUCAAUAGUGCAAUUGUUGCACGCCUGAACCAGUUAAAACGCGACAAGAAAUUUUUUUAUAUGAUCUUUCUAUCGCCGAAAGUACUAUCGUUAAAAACCACAACUACGCCAUAAUGAGUUAUUCCGACACGGCACGUGUAAGAUUUUCCUGUGAGCAAUAUAUAAACAAAGAUCCAUCGGUUGGUUUGAUUGACAGUAGUGGGUACAAGAUAGAGACGGUAGAACGAACUACAUACAACGAGCUACUUGAUGUUAGUAAAAAUGGAAGUAUGCUGUGUUGUAUAUAUUAUUACGAAGUGAGUGACUUAGGCGAAACUACAGAUAUCACUCGGGUCAUUGCAAAUAAAACCUUAUUGCUGUACAAGAAGGACGAAAUGAAAGUUAAUGAAACUGAAACUGAGGCUACGCGUAGAGGUUACCUGGGACUGUACGUGGCGAUACCAACAGUACUGCUGGCUGCCGCAUUCGUAGCAGUUGUUUACGUUUGCCGCAAAAAGAAACCGCUGCCAAACCCCAC